UACGUAGGGUGCAAGCGUUAAUCGGAAUUACUGGGCGUAAAGCGUGCGCAGGCGGUUAUGUAAGACAGUUGUGAAAUCCCCGGGCGUCAACCUGGGAACUGCAUCUGUGACUGCAUAGCUAGAGUACGGUAGAGGGGAUGGAAUUCCGCGUGUAGCAGUGAAAUGCGUAGAUAUGCGGAGGAACACCGAUGGCGAAGGCAAUCCCCUGGACCUGUACUGACGCUCAUGCACGAAAGCGUGGGGAGCAAACAGG
rnacentral:rRNA from 1 species